rnacentral:tRNA from 1 species
CAGAGCAUGUACUCCGCAAAGUUGAGCGCUCACGGCUUAUUCGGGCUGUAAAUUAAAGCACAGUACUACAGCGUGGUCUGUAGCUCAGUUCGGUUAGCAGCACCGUCUUGAUAAUGUGCGGGGGUCGUUGGUGUCGAAUCCAUCCAGUACACCACCACCGUCUUGUGUGGCGGAUUCACACCUGAGGAAUUCGUACAUGGGGGCAUAUCUCAGCUGGGAGAGCACCUGCUUUGCAAGCAGGGGGUCGUCGGUUCUAUCCCGUCUGCCUCCCCCAAUCACCAACGCUAAUGGCUUGGUUCAAUACGCUGAACCGAUAAUUUUGCAUUGGCGACUGAACCUGUCACAGGAUAUGAACAGCAUAUAUCGGCUGUCGUUCUUUAACAAUCUGGAACUAGGUAAGUAAUUUGGAUAGCCGAAGCGUCUCGAGAUGGACGUGAAAGUUAUCACGGGUUGUGAUUGUAUCGAUGUAUCUCAAGAUGAUUCAAACUGCUAUGUUUGACUUAAGAUUGGAAUACGGCACAACGCGAGAACUCACCCUGUAUG